CCUACGGGAGGCAGCAGUGGGGAAUAUUGGACAAUGGGGGCAACCCUGAUCCAGCCAUGCCGCGUGUGUGAAGAAGGCCCUCGGGUUGUAAAGCACUUUCAGUGAGGAAGAACGCCUGGUGGUUAAUACCCAUCAGGAAAGACAUCACUCACAGAAGAAGCACCGGCUAACUCCGUGCCAGCAGCCGCGGUAAUACGGAGGGUGCGAGCGUUAAUCGGAAUUACUGGGCGUAAAGGGCGCGUAGGUGGCUUGAUAAGCCGGUUGUGAAAGCCCCGGGCUCAACCUGGGAACGGCAUCCGGAACUGUCAAGCUAGAGUGCAGGAGAGGAAGGUAGAAUUCCCGGUGUAGCGGUGAAAUGCGUAGAGAUCGGGAGGAAUACCAGUGGCGAAGGCGGCCUUCUGGACUGACACUGACACUGAGGUGCGAAAGCGUGGGUAGCAAACAGGAUUAGAUACCCCAGUAGUC
rnacentral:rRNA from 1 species